UUUACAAUGGAGAGUUUGAUCCUGGCUCAGGAUGAACGCUAGCUACAGGCUUAACACAUGCAAGUCGAGGGGAAACGACAUCGAAAGCUUGCUUUUGAUGGGCGUCGACCGGCGCACGGGUGAGUAACGCGUAUCCAACCUGCCCACCACUUGGGGAUAACCUUGCGAAAGUAAGACUAAUACCCAAUGA
rnacentral:rRNA from 1 species